AAUCAGCAUCCGUACUGCUAGACAAAUGAACAAGGACAUCAAUUCGGCUACUACAGAGUUAAGUAAGAACGCGCGGAGCUUCUUUUUAUCAAGCCCCAGUGGCCUAAUGGAUAAGGCACUGGCCUCCUAAGCCAGGGAUUGUGGGUUCGAGUCCCAUCUGGGCAAGAAAAGAACAAAGGCAUCAGGAAAGCAACAGGGACUUGAAAAAUAUAGAAGUGGUUUUAGUGGCAAACCAGUACACAGGUCCAGUCUGUCCAAUAAUAAAUGGUGAUCUCAUUCACUGGAGAAAUUAAGAACAGAUUCACAAAUCUUCAGCUAUGGAAAUUGUUGGAAUAUGUGACAGACUACCAACUGCAGAAUAUAAAGCACUAGGAUCUGGCAGAUGCGGCUAGCUGAAAUGUGUCCACAGGUACUCUACACAUGUGAUUUCCAAUACCUCCACUGCUUCAAGGAUUCUAUUACAUUGCCCUACAGUGCUUAUGAGAAAAGGGAUGCAAAUAGCAUUACAGCUGAAUCAUCUAAACACCCAACUGAGAAGAUUAAACACACCUGCACUACUAAACUAAGAGCCCCUGGUGGCACAGUGGUAAAACUGCUGCCCUGUAACCAGAAGGUUACAAGUUCAAUCCUGACCAGGGGCUCAAGGUUGACUCAGCCUUCCAUCCUUCCGAGGUCGGUAAAAUGAGUACCCAGAAUGUUGGGGGCAAUAUGCUAAAAUCAUUGUAAACCGCUUAGAGAGCUCCAGCUAUAGAGUGGUAUAUAAAUGUAAGUGCUAUUGCUAUUGCUAAUGUGGUGAAACCCACAAAAAUUGGAGAAGACUGCAUCUGGGUUGGCUAAUGAUUUCUGGUUAUUUCUUCAUGAAACUGUAUGUAUGAGCUUUGAAGGACUCUCUUGCUCCUAUACUCCUUCCUUCAAGCAGCACAAUUACCCCCAUCCAUAGUAUGAAGAAAAAAGUUUGCCAUUUCAUCUAAACUAUAAUUUGUGCUCCUAUCCAAACAGACUGGGAAUGAGGAUAAAUUGUGAUUUCCAAUACAGGUUUGCAGGGCAAGCACAAACCAGUGUUUGCUGGUUUAGAUGCACCAGCAAAGUAUGGCUUGCUUCAAAUUUGGAGGAAAUCAUGAUGUGCAAGCAGAGGAAGCAGCAUACAUACCUAAGUGUAUUCAAGGUUUGUUCACAGCAGUCAAGCUACCUGAACUGAACCACAGUUUUCAAUCACAUCUGUGCAAACAGCCAAGGGACAGAUAGAUUUCAUUUUAAUUUUCAAAAAGUCUAGUUUGCUUAAAAUUCAAAACUGUACUUACAGACCACUGUAGGACCUUUAAGUCCAUGUGUUGCUGAUCUCUACUAUUACAGACUGUCAAGGUUUUACUUAGAAAGGUAUUGGAUAUACUUUGACCUUAAAAAGUGUUAUGGAUGCCAAAUGUACAUUCCCCUGGACAUGGUCGACAUGUGAAUGGGUUGGACCCAAGUUUUGAAUCCAGAUGUGCACAGUGUAAAUACUGGAGUCAGAAAAAUUAACCUAGGAAGUCAGGAGGGAAACCAUGACAUCUUAAAUAUGAAGAGUCAAACAAGGUUGGUAGAAUUCCCUAAAAAGUCCUGGCUUUUAGGAUUUUUGGAAAGGCCUCUCCUUUCAGCCCUUUGAGACCGAGAAACAGGUCUCCCAUUGUUUUUCUGCUUCAUUGCUGUGUUCUGACCUUGCAUUCUUUCUCUGCUGUUAAGUUGCUUUUGCCUUGCAUCCUCCCCAGCUUGGGGUUGGAAGGUGUCAGGCUUAUGUGUCCAUACUGGUGAUGACAAUUGGCUAAUAAAGAGGUUGUUAGAUCUUGUCAGUCAUUAGCACCUUUUGGAUAAUCUUAUCAUUGAUCUGAUUCUCAAAAGUUUUAUUUUUGAAAUUUUUGAUUUUUGCUUCCUAUAAAAUGCCCUCCCACAACUCUCCCUGGGUGCUUCAUAAGAACAGCCCUGUGGAUCAGGACCAAGGCCAAUCUAGUUCAGCAUCCUGUUUCCCACAGUGGCCCACCACAUG